rnacentral:lncRNA from 1 species
GCGAGACUCCAUCUGAAUAAACAAAAAAAAACCCCAAAAAACAAAAAAACAAUGUCAUGGUAUUAGUUAAGGCAAGUGAUAUUCGCUACCAUAACAAAAAUCUCUAAAAAUCUUAUGGCUUAAUAUAAUUAGAAUGUACUAUUUGCCCCGGAGAAUUCAGACAGAUGUUUGUUUCUGCUCUAGUCACUUUCCAUAUAGUCAUUCCAAGUCCAGUCUUCUUCCAUCCUGUGGCUCCGACUUCUUCCAAGACCUUAAAAUCCUUUCUCCUUCCAGCAGAUGCAGAAGGAGAGAAUGUGUGGAGGAUUAUGUAGAAGGAUUUCACGAGCCUGGCCUGGAGAGGACACAUCACUUCCAACUCCAUUCCAUUACCAGAGCUUAGUCUAUUUCCAGAAGAUUAUAAGCUUCAUGGGGGUAGAUGCUUUACUUCAUUCAUCACUGCAUCUCCAACGCCUAGCACAGAGUCCUGAAUUACAGGCUCAAUAACUAUUUACUGAAUGUGAAAACAGAGCUGCUUGAAGAUAUAUGAGGCUAAUUGAGCUUGUGCAUUUGUUGGCUAUUGCUGCUACAGUGGAUGCUGUUGUUCAGUAUUCAGAUAUCAAGAAACAACUAGCCAAAGUAAGGAGGAACGAGGGGCCCAUGAAGCUCAGUAGAGCUUGUGAUAAUAUUUGCAAGAGAAGACUACCUGCCAAACUAACUUCAGAAAAGGUGUUUCUGGUUGAAAUCGUCGUGCCCAACAUUCCACCAGGUUCCUCACAUGUUGAAUACAUCAAAGCCUACUCCACCCAUCUGGAAUGGACAAGCAGAAAUGACUCACUGUGUUUUCCAAUUGCACUCAAGACCUGUCUCCAUAUGCCCUCCUCCUCUGCUUGAGCAGAAGGUGAAAGAGGUUGUGUUGACUGUGGAAUUUGGCCAUUGAAUCUUGAAGACAAAUGCUCUUUGACUUCACUACAACAUCAGAGGGCACUUGGCCAAGGAAGACUAGUUAGAACCAGCCUUUUUGCAAACACAGCUGAGGUUUUUAUCCUGUCUUUUCUUCAUCACAAAAGUAGCAUGGAGAAUAAUGGACAAUAGAGUUCAAGUGGAGCAAGAACUGUCCAGAAUUUGGGGAAGAAGUCACAUAUCAGUCCUGGCCAUGAUAACUGGGGCACAUGUACUAUAUCCAAGUUGAUAUCCUUAAUUUGGGGAAAGUUUUCUUGCCUUUCCCACAGCCUCCCAAGCCAUUGACAAUUCCCACAUUCAAAACAUUCUCAUUCACAUUUCUGAUUCACUUUGGGCUACAGGAACAACAGAUGUUGAGUACUUCUAGGGAGCAAAUCCAUUAUAGAUGGAGGUAGGUCUUGCAAACAGAGAGGUAGAGAGCUUUCUCGAGACCUUUGGACCAAGCAGAUAACAUCACAAGGUGUACCUUAUGCUAAGUGCCUGAUCUCUAAGACCCUCCACCAGCGUCAGAGAGACAGCAUGCUCACAACAUGACAGCUGGUCAUACAGGUGAAGAAGAACAUGAAGACCAGCCCACCCCUGAAAAUGACAGAUCAAACUCAGCUUCACAAUGUCUCUUAUUCCAUCGCUAAUGGUGUUUAAAAACACACUUUGUCUUAAGGAACAAGGGGAACUGACCACGUGUUCAUGACGGUUCAUUUCUUACCCUCUGCUUUGGCUUGACCAAACUUUAGUCAGGUAUCUCUCCUCCACAAAGAUUCCUAGACUUUGGCUGUCCCCCAAGUUUAAGCAAGCACUGAAACACUAAGGAGCAGAACAUCUGUUAACAGCUCAUCCUGAAAAUCAACUGACCAUAGGAAAAAACACUCCCUAUUGAGAUAUCCUGGUUUUGCCACCUGCUCGCCCACACUCUAUGCCCUUCUCCUCCACAAAGGUCUGGCUGGUUCUUCUCCCUCCAUACAAAGGAAAAGCUUAUUUCUGUUUGAUUUUGAGACAUUUGCAGAUAUCUGAGGUUGGCAUGUUCUUCCUAUUGCAAUAGUCUUUUUGAGUAAAGUCUCUCUUUAUCUAAAAAAAAAAAA